rnacentral:rRNA from 1 species
AGCGAACGCUGGCGGCAGGCCUAACACAUGCAAGUCGAACGGACGAUCGGGCUUGCUCGAUCGUUAGUGGCGGACGGCUGAGUAACGCGUGGGUGACCUGCCCCGAAGUGGGGAAUAACUGCCCGAAAGGGUGGCUAAUACCGCAUGUGGUGACUGGUUCGCUCCAGUCUCCAAAGCCGCAAGGCGCUUCGGGAGGGGCCUGCGUCCGAUUAGCUCGUUGGUGGGGUAACGGCUCACCAAGGCGACGAUCGGUAGGUGGUCUGAGAGGACGAUCACCCACACUGGGACUGAGACACGGCCCAGACUCCUACGGGAGGCAGCAGUCGGGAAUUUUGCUCAAUGGGCGAAAGCCUGAAGCAGCAACGCCGCGUGAGGGAUGACGGCCUUCGGGUUGUAAACCUCUUUUCUCAGGGACGAUGAUGACGGUACCUGAGGAAUAAGCCACGGCUAACUACGUGCCAGCAGCCGCAGUAAAAC